AUGCUCGCUUCAACAGCACAUACACUAAAGUUGGAAAUGAUACAGAGAUUAGCAUGGCCCUUGCUCAAGGAUGACACGCAAAUUUGUGAAGCGUUGCGUAAUUUU
ensembl:snRNA U6 U6 spliceosomal RNA